UACGUAGGGUGCAAGCGUUGUCCGGAAUUAUUGGGCGUAAAGAGCUCGUAGGCGGUCUGUCGCGUCUGCUGUGAAAACUCAGGGCUUAACCCUGAGCUUGCAGUGGGUACGGGCAGACUAGAGUGCGGUAGGGGGAGACUGGAAUUCCUGGUGUAGCGGUGAAAUGCGCAGAUAUCGGGAGGAACACCAGUGGCGAAGGCGGCUACCUGGCCCACUCUUGACGCUGAGGCGCGAAGGUCAGGGGAGCAAAGCGGGG
rnacentral:rRNA from 1 species